ensembl:miRNA Mir432 microRNA 432
UGGGUAGCUCUUGCAUUUCCUGGUGGGGGACACUGAAUGGCUCCUCCACUUCCCGGAGUAGAUCAGUGGGUAGCU